rnacentral:misc_RNA from 1 species
AACGCACAUUGCGCCCCUUGGUAUUCCGAGGGGCAUGCCUGUUCGAGCGUCAUUAUAACCACUCAAGCCUAGCUUGGUAUUGGGGUUCGCGGUCUCGCGGCCCUUAAAAUCAGUGGCGGUGCCUUCUGGCUCUAAGCGUAGUAAUUUUUCUCGCUACAGGGUCUGGUGGUCACUUGCCAUUAACCCCCUAUUUUCUCAGGUUGACCUCGGAUCAGGUAGGGAUACCCGCUGAACUUAA